GCCAUUCUUCCCCAAGGACUCACCGUCUUGGUCUGCAGUGGGUGAUGAUUUGCGGAACAAAUACUGCAAACUGAAGAUAGAUCUCAGCUCCUGAGGAGUAUAGUGGCAACCAAAAGCAUUGUUACUUUGCCAUGAACUCCAUGUAAGGCCAUGAACAAACUCCCUGUCACUUUGCUGUGGCUUUCCACUUACGAAAUGGAGGAUAAUUGUACUGCCUUGUCACCGAGAGGCUUGAGCCUGGUUGAGCCUGAUACCCGGUUGGUGAUGAUGAAGGACAACAAAAAUGCAGCCAUAUACUGUAUGCAGCACUGCCUAGCACUGCAGGCAUUGGUAGCGCUUUGGAGCCAUUAGGAGAAAUGCUGCAGUAUCCUCUCACCAUGGUAUGUUACAGCCAUGAAAUGCAGAAAGACUGCAGUAUUUGGAACUAAAAUCAUAAAUGCAGUAGUGUU